GAUGAACGCUGGCGGCGUGCCUAAUACAUGCAAGUCGAGCGAACGGACGAGAAGCUUGCUUCUCUGAUGUUAGCGGCGGACGGGUGAGUAACACGUGGAUAACCUACCUAUAAGACUGGGAUAACUUCGGGAAACCGGAGCUAAUACCGGAUAAUAUUUUGAACCGCAUGGUUCAAAAGUGAAAGACGCUCUUGCUGUCACUUAUAGAUGGAUCCGCGCUGCAUUAGCUAGUUGGUAAGGUAACGGCUUACCAAGGCAACGAUGCAUAGCCGACCUGAGAGGGUGAUCGGCCACACUGGAACUGAGACACGGUCCAGACUCCUACGGGAGGCAGCAGUAGGGAAUCUUCCGCAAUGGGCGAAAGCCGGACGGAGCAACGCCGCGUGAGUGAUGAAGGUCUUCGGAUCGUAAAACUCUGUUAUUAGGGAAGAACAUAUGUGUAAGUAACUGUGAACAUCUUGACGGUACCUAAUCAGAAAGCCACGGCUAACUACGUG
rnacentral:rRNA from 1 species